rfam:Otolemur garnettii contig067189, whole genome shotgun sequence.
CCACUGACUGGCAGGGGAGAUGCCAUGAUCAGGAAGGUGGUUGUCCCAGGACGAAGCUUCCCCACUGCACUCAGAUGUGCUGACCCUGCGAUUUCUCCAAAUGUGGGAAACUUGACUGCAUAAUUUGUGGUAGUGGGGGAUUAAAAAAAAAAAAAAACAUACAUUUUUA